rnacentral:rRNA from 1 species
AUUGAACGCUGGCGGAAUGCUUUACACAUGCAAGUCGAACGGCAGCACGGGGCAACCUGGUGGCGAGUGGCGAACGGGUGAGUAAUACAUCGGAACGUGCCCAAUCGUGGGGGAUAACGUAGCGAAAGUUACGCUAAUACCGCAUACGAUCUACGGAUGAAAGCGGGGGAUCGCAAGACCUCGCGCGAAUGGAGCGGCCGAUGUCAGAUUAGGUAGUUGGUGGGGUAAAGGCUCACCAAGCCGACGAUCUGUAGCUGGUCUGAGAGGACGACCAGCCACACUGGGACUGAGACACGGCGCAGACUCCUACGGGAGGCAGCAGUGGGGAAUUUUGGACAAUGGGCGAAAGCCUGAUCCAGCCAUUCCGCGUGCAGGAUGAAGGCCUUCGGGUUGUAAACUGCUUUUGUACGGAACGAAACGGUCCUUUCUAAUACAAGGGGCUAAUGACGGUACCGUAAGAAUAAGCACCGGCUAACUACGUGCCAGCAGCCGCCGUAA